GUAGGUGGCAAGCGUUGUCCGGAAUUAUUGGGCGUAAAGCGCGCGCAGGGCGGUCCUUUAAGUCUGAUGUGAAAGCCCACGGCUCAACCGUGGAGGGUCAUUGGAAACUGGGGGACUUGAGUACAGAAGAGGAAAGCGGAAUUCCAAGUGUAGCGGUGAAAUGCGUAGAGAUUUGGAGGAACACCAGUGGCGAAGGCGGCUUUCUGGUCUGUAACUGACGCUGAGGCGCGAAAGCGUGGGGAGCAAACAGGAUUAGAUACCCUGGUAGUCCACGCCGUAAACGAUGAGUGCUAAGUGUUAGGGGGGUUUCCGCCCCCUUAGUGCUGCAGCUAACGCAUUAAGCACUCCGCCUGGGGAGUACGGCCGCAAAGGCUG
rnacentral:rRNA from 1 species